UACGGAAGGGGCAAGCGUUGUUCGGAUUCAUUGGGCGUAAAGGGUGCGUAGGUGGUCAGGUAAGUCGGAUGUGAAAUCUCCGAGCUCAACUCGGAAACUGCAUUGGAAACUACCUGGCUCGAGGGUUGGAGGGGGGACUGGAAUGCUUGGUGUAGCAGUGAAAUGCGUAGAUAUCAAGCGGAACACCAGUGGCGAAGGCGAGUCCCUGGACAACUCCUGACACUGAUGCACGAAAGCUAGGGGAGCAAACAGG
rnacentral:rRNA from 1 species